rnacentral:rRNA from 1 species
AUUGAACGCUGGCGGCAGGCCUAACACAUGCAAGUCGAGCGGAUGAAGGGAGCUUGCUCCUGGAUUCAGCGGCGGACGGGUGAGUAAUGCCUAGGAAUCUGCCUGGUAGUGGGGGAUAACGUCCGGAAACGGGCGCUAAUACCGCAUACGUCCUGAGGGAGAAAGUGGGGGAUCUUCGGACCUCACGCUAUCAGAUGAGCCUAGGUCGGAUUAGCUAGUUGGUGGGGUAAAGGCCUACCAAGGCGACGAUCCGUAACUGGUCUGAGAGGAUGAUCAGUCACACUGGAACUUAGACACGGUCCCGGCUCCUACGGGAGGGCGCAGUUGGGAAUAUUGGACAAUGGGCGAAAGCCUGAUCCAGCCAUGCCGCGUGUGUGAAGAAGGUCUUCGGAUUGUAAAGCACUUUAAGUUGGGAGGAAGGGCAGUAAGUUAAUACCUUGCUGUUUUGACGUUACCAACAGAAUAAGCACCGGCUAACUUCGUG